GACGAACGCUGGCGGCGUGCCUAAUACAUGCAAGUAGAACGCACAGAUUAUACCGUUGCUUGCUACACCAUAGACGGUGAGGUGCGAACGGGUGAGUAACGCGUAGGUAACCUGCCUGGUAGAGGGUGAUAACAAUUGGAAACGAUAGCUAAUACCGCAUAAUAUUGAUUAUUGCAUGAUAAUUAAUGGAAAGGUGCAAUUGCACCACUACCAGCUGGACCUGUGUUGUAUUAGCUAGUAGGAAAGGUAACGGCUCACUAAGGCAACGAAACAUAGCCGACCUGAGAGGGUGAUCGGCCACCUGGGACCUGGGCCCCGCCCAGACUUCUUCGGGGGGCAGCCGUAGGGGAUCCUCGGCCAUGGACGGAAGGCUUGACGGGGCACGGCGGCGGAGUGGAGGAGGGUUUCGGGUCGUAAAGCUCUGUUGUUAGGGAAGAACGGGUGUGGGAGUGGAAAGUUCACACUGUGACGGUACCUUAUCAGAAAGGGACGGCUAACUACGUG
rnacentral:rRNA from 1 species